AGACGCUGUUAGACACAGCAGAAAGUGAUCAAAGAGGAUGACAGGGAAAGGUGGUAAUGGAUGCCCAGAAUAUCCCUCCACUCCAGCUUAAGCGAGGGGAAGGCAGUCGGGGCAUGGCUGCCUUUCAUGUUCAGAGUCGACUUUGACUCCAGUACAUCAGCCUCUGUUGAAUGCUGCCGUCACGUGUAUUGAGUCAGUCUCCAUGGCGCACCUACCAUAUUUGGCUGCUCUCUGCCGUCUGGCUGACAUACUUUGCUGAAGUAUAUAUCUGGGAGCUGCAUUAUUCCCACUAGCCAAGGAAUGGAAACAGUCUAAAUGCCCAUCAACACAUGACUGGAUAAAAACAUUGUGGGGCAACAUGCUUCACUUUAGACUGUGUCCAGAGACUUCACGUGUGGAAUGACAACCCUUCAGCUUCAUUACUCAGUCACCAGGUUCCAGAUGCCAUCAGGAUGCUGGCCAGGCUUCCCUGGACUGAAGACCCCAGCAAUGUGUCCUGGAGCUCUGCUUCCCCAGAGACACACCCUACUAGGGAAAGAGAGAGGCAGACUGGGAGUAUGGACUGACCAGUCAAUGCCCAUGUUCAGCGGGGAAGCAAUUACAGAAGCCAGACCUUCUACCUUCUGCAACCCACAAUGACCCUGGGUCCAUGUUCCCAGAGGGAUGGAGAAUGGGAA